AUUGAACGCUGGCGGCAGGCUUAACACAUGCAAGUCGAGCGGGGGAAGGUAGCUUGCUACUGGACCUAGCGGCGGACGGGUGAGUAAUGCUUAGGAAUCUGCCUAUUGGUGGGGGACAACAUCUCGAAAGGGAUGCUAAUACCGCAUACGUCCUACGAGAGAAAGCAGGGGAUCUGCGGACCUUGCGCUAAUAGAUGAGCCUAAGUCGGAUUAGCUAGUUGGUGGGGUAAGGCCUACCAAGGCGACGAUCUGUAGCGGGUCUGAGAGGAUGAUCCGCCACACUGGGACUGAGACACGGCCCAGACUCCUACGGGAGGCAGCAGUGGGGAAUAUUGGACAAUGGGGGGAACCCUGAUCCAGCCAUGCCGCGUGUGUGAAGAAGGCCUUAUGGUUGUAAAGCACUUUAAGCGAGGAGGAGGCUACUUUAGUUAAUACCUAGAGAUAGUGGACGUUACUCGCAGAAUAAGCACCGGCUAACUCUGUGCCAGCCGCCGCCGUAA
rnacentral:rRNA from 1 species